UACGAAGGGGGCUAGCGUUGUUCGGAAUUACUGGGCGUAAAGGGCUCGUAGGCGGCCAACUAAGUCAAACGUGAAAUCCCUCGGCUUAACCGGGGAACUGCGCUUGAUACUGGAUGGCUUGAGAUUGGGAGAGGGAUGCGGAAUUCCAGGUGUAGCGGUGAAAUGCGUAGAUAUCUGGAGGAACACCGGUGGUGAAGGCGGCAUCCUGGACCAACACUGACGCUGAGGAGCGAAAGCCAGGGGAGCAAACGGG
rnacentral:rRNA from 1 species